rnacentral:rRNA from 1 species
UACAGAGGUCUCAAGCGUUGGUCGGAUUCAUUGGGCGUAAAGGGUGCGUAGGUGGCGCGCUAAGUCAGGUGUGAAAUUUCGGAGCUUAACUCCGAAACUGCAUUUGAUACUGGCGUGCUUGAGGACUGGAGAGGAGACUGGAAUUCACGGUGUAGCAGUGAAAUGCGUAGAGAUCGUGAGGAAGACCAGUGGCGAAGGCGGGUCUCUGGACAGUUCCUGACACUGAGGCACGAAGGCCAGGGGAGCAAACGGG